rnacentral:rRNA from 1 species
GACGAAGGGGGCUAGCGUUGUUCGGAAUUACUGGGCGUAAAGCGCGUGUAGGCGGUUGUUCAAGUCAGGUGUGAAAGCCUUGAGCUCAACUCAAGAAAUGCACUUGAUACUGGAUGACUAGAGGACCGGAGAGGAUAGUGGAAUUCCCAGUGUAGUGGUGAAAUACGUAGAGAUUGGGAAGAACACCAGUGGCGAAGGCGGCUAUCUGGACGGUUUCUGACGCUAAGACGCG